rnacentral:rRNA from 1 species
GACGAACGCUGGCGGCGUGCCUAAUACAUGCAAGUUGAGCGCUGAAGGUUGGUACUUGUACCAACUGGAUGAGCAGCGAACGGGUGAGUAACGCGUGGGGAAUCUGCCUUUGAGCGGGGGACAACAUUUGGAAACGAAUGCUAAUACCGCAUAAAAACUUUAAACACAAGUUUUAAGUUUGAAAGAUGCAAUUGCAUCACUCAAAGAUGAUCCCGCGUUGUAUUAGCUAGUUGGUGAGGUAAAGGCUCACCAAGGCGAUGAUACAUAGCCGACCUGAGAGGGUGAUCGGCCACAUUGGGACUGAGACACGGCCCAAACUCCUACGGGAGGCAGCAGUAGGGAAUCUUCGGCAAGGGACGAAAGUCUGACCGAGCAACGCCGCGUGAGUGAAGAAGGUUUUCGGAUCGUAAAACUCUGUUGGUAGAGAAGAACGUUGGUGAGAGUGGAAAGCUCAUCAAGUGACGGUAACUACACAGAAAGGGACGGCUAACUACGUG